rnacentral:pre_miRNA from 2 species
UGAGCCAUGCUGGAGAGGCAGGGCACAUGCUAGAUUUACCAGCAAGAUGGUAAGUUUUAGCAUGUGCUCUUCUUCUCCAACUUGGAUUC